rnacentral:rRNA from 1 species
GAUGAACGCUGGCGGCGUGCCUAAUACAUGCAAGUCGAGCGAACAGACGAGGAGCUUGCUCCUCUGACGUUAGCGGCGGACGGGUGAGUAACACGUGGAUAACCUACCUAUAAGACUGGGAUAAAUUCGGGAAACCGGAGCUAAUACCGGAUAAUAUAUUGAACCGCAUGGUUCAAUAGUGAAAGACGGUUUUGCUGUCACUUAUAGAUGGAUCCGCGCCGCAUUAGCUAGUUGGUAAGGUAACGGCUUACCAAGGCAACGAUGCGUAGCCGACCUGAGAGGGUGAUCGGCCACACUGGAACUGAGACACGGUCCAGACUCCUACGGGAGGAAGCAGUAGGGAAUCUUCCGCAAUGGGCGAAAGCCUGACGGAGCAACGCCGCGUGAGUGAUGAAGGUCUUCGGAUCGUAAAACUCUGUUAUUAGGGAAGAACAAAUGUGUAAGUAACUAUGCACGUCUUGACGGUACCUAAUCAGAAAGCCACGGCUAACUACGUG